AGCUUCCUUCAUCAUUAGCAAAUAUUUUGUGUAAAUGCAGAACAUUGUAAGCAAAGUGUUGCAAUCAGCUAUUUGCGAGCUAGUCAAGGCCAUAACCUGGAAUGUCUUUAAAUCUUCACAUGAAUAUUAUGUUCCAAUCAAGAUGAUGUAAAAGGCCAUCCUCUUUUUGAUAAUGACACUUGACUCAAGAACUAUGAUAUUGGUCUAAGCAUCUUAUCCUAAAAACUAAGCAAAUUUAUGCUACAAAAAUUAAUUCUUGUCAGCUAUAGAAUCCUCCCCUUGCUCAUCCUGCUUACCAGAAAAUUUAGAAUAGAACUGCAAAACUUUUGAAUGUGCCUUAAUCUUUGAGGGAUCAAAACCUGCCAAAUGAAGGCCUCUCAAGAGUCUUACUCGUGAAAGUGCAACAUAGACCAUCCCGAAGUCAAAAACACGCUUGAGAUCCGUAUGGAGCUUGUCAAGAGUCAU
rnacentral:lncRNA from 1 species